GGGUUAGGUGCCUUCCUUGCUCAAGGGCACAUUCAGUUUUUUCACCUAGUCGGCUCAGAGAUUCAAACCAGCAACCUUUUUGUUUACUUGCCCAAUGCUCUUAACCACUAGACUACCUUCCGCCCAACAACAAAGCAUUCAUUAAUCCAAAUGACAAUGACUCAUGACUCAGUGAUAUUCCACAACUACCAUUUGUCAUUGAUUACUUAUGUCACUUUUCCUCUGCUACUUGUCAAAAUCUUAGAGCCACAUCAGUGGAGCCCGGAAAACAGAAUGACGAACAAUGCCUCACAAGGGGCCUGCAAUUCAACAACACUGAAUCAAGCCAUUUCCAGGAUUUCUAAAGCUGUAGACACCCUGACUAACCAACUGUCCUGUGAGGGAGGGAACAACCAAAGCUUUCCUGAAGAGAAGUUCAGCGUGCUGCAACAAGACCUCAGACAGAUUAUGAAAUUGGCCUUAAAAGUCUUCCUUCAUUUGGGCACCAAUGAAUCAAAGUCUGAGGUCCUGGAUGUCUUUGGAGCUUUGAACAGUCUCAACAGUGAUAACGAUCAAAAUGUGCAAUUCAUCCGCCUGUGGUUCAACGUCCAGCUGGUACCUCUUUUACCCCACAUUACCGGAGACUUCCUGUCCCUGUUGAGCACAAGAGACUUCAGCUGCAGCUCCUAUCAGGCACUGGUCCUGGGAUUGAGUGGUGAACUGGUAUCCAUUAAUGAAGAGCAGAAACAAUUGAUCUACACUCACUUUAUCCGUCUUUUCCUGUUCAGAAAGGGAUCAUCAGAUCCAGAUCCUGGAUGCUUGGGAAAUGUAAAUGAAAGUGCAGACUGGUUGUUGAAAAACUUUGGAAACUUUUCAAGCAUUGCUGAUUUAAAGGAUCUGUAUGAACUAAACCAGCAUUUCUCUGCGCUGGAGGUUUUGAAAAUCCUUUCACCAAACCAGAAAGCUGAAUUGAUACUGGACCCAAGCACUGGCGCUCUGGAGAAUGAGACUCUUGUGAAGAACGUUUUCAUCAGCUUGCUGGAAUCUCCAAGGGAAGAGCAGCUCAAUGAGUUCUUUGUGACUUUUGUUGAAGUCACCAAGCAGGAAAACAUCACUAUCAUCACAAACACAGCUGUAAGAGACACAAUGCUAGACCUGACCUUGAUGGCUCUUGCUCCCAAAUUCGACGUUUUUGAGCCAAAAGACUUCCAGCUGUGGUUCCAAGUCAAUCUGGUUGUUCUGCUGGCCAGCUUCCAUCCUGGCAGAUUGGUUGAUAUCCCUCUAAACAUCACCUGUGAAUCCUACAAUGCCAUAUUUACGGGUCUCAACCAAAGUUUGGAAUCUCUUCCGCCUCACCUCUCACAGGGUGUAAAGUCAAGCUUGGAUGCACUGAUGAAGACAUUCCAACGUUGCUCAAGGCCUCCAGCUUUAAUUGUGUGCAAAGAAACACUGGUCAAUGAGAAACAACUUUGUGCUGGAUUUAACAGAACACAACUGAAGCAACAAAUGUCGAUUGGGAAUUCCAAUGAAUCCCUUUGCAAUUUCAACAUCUCUGAAUAUGCCUGUUCCUCAACAACCCUUCUGUCAGCGGACAACUUGGUGACGAUCCUGAAAUGCCAAUUGUCCAGCAAAAAGACUUACUCAACAGAAAUGUGGAAGCUGUUCUUCCAAAACAAUGCUGCUAUUCUGGAACAGGCUCUUCUGGAUUACUCCAGCAUGGUAUGUUGAAUCCCAGAAUUACAACAAAAUGUUGGCAAUAUGUG
ensembl:lncRNA